GAAGAGUCGAGAUCUGAUAAUCUUCGAUUACAGGCAGACUCAUUUUAUCAGAUUCACGAACGUCGUCAUCAUCGUACAUCCACGUAUAUUUCUGCGAAUGAGAAACCAUUUCACAUGAAUGUAAUACAUGAGAGAAACCGCAAAGUAGUAACUGUCGCGAGUGAAAAAGGUUCUCCUUUCUGCCGUCUGGCAGGUAGUGUCAGCGCACCGAGUUUGCAAACACACAGCGAAUCCUAAUCAUGAACCCCCAGAGAAAAGCGUUUUGAUUGGAUACCGAUCACUGCACUGGCUGCGUGAGGGAUAUACAGAACUAAUGGCAGUAGGAUGUCCGUCGUCUGUUGACAAGACUAUCAUGGCGGCCGUAACGUAACAGUGAUAGAUUCGUGAUCGCUGAAACGUAGGACGUAUGGUUGUACGGCACAUGGCCCCGUGUCAGACGUUUCAGUUUCGCAAAUGAACCUAAAUUAGCGCAGCUCGUUUAUCCACCUGAUUGAUAAUCAAAACGUCAGAGGGUCACUCGUUAGAUGGUCGACUCUUUGUAAGGUUACGAGGUGACAGCUCGUAAGUGAACGAUAAUCGUCACCGGCAGCGAACGCAUAAUAAAGUUUCCAAUGCAUCGCAAUGCAGACGUAUAGAAUUCAAUAAGCAGAGCGUUCAAGGUCGUCGUAUCCGCAAAGCAAUCACGUGAGUGAAAAACAGCACGGGUGCGAGACGAUCACAAACUUUGCAUUUCUAACGUACCCACUGUAUCGAAUCAGAACAACUAACAUCUUCCCCCAAUUCCCAAGCACAUCGAUAUCGAGAAAUACAGCAGCUUACAUUCCGGCGUCACAAAUCGAGGGUUCCUAAUCCCACAGGCAGAAACCAACGUCGAAUGAUCCGACACCACCACCCGGAUAUUACAAGAGGACACUUUCCCUCCUCGCACGCCACAAACUUGAGUGUUCCUUCCCAAUCCUACUCGAUUCUAGAAGCUGUAACAGAAUCAGAGGCAGAAAGACUCGCCGACACAAAAGUCUUACGCCGAUACUUCUCGUCGUUACACAUCGCAGUCUGCAAAAUCCAACCUAUUUUGCCCGAAGUUCAUCCAUACCAAAGGAUCCUACUUCCAUAGGUGUACCGACACCCACAAAUUCAUCGGCACUACCUAUGCAAAUCCGUGAAAGGAGGUACCUCUACAGAAACGUAACAAAAGCAAAGCUCCUCUUUAAUCCCACCCGCUCAACAAAGAUCCAAGAACUCGGAACGGCGAAAGACUAUGCAAAACAAAGAAAGUCUACAUCCAACAAGGUCCGCCGCAAGGUAAAAUCCCGACCAUGCACUAGGGAGUUGUCGGUAAGCCAACUACGACCUUUGUCUUUCAUUAGUACUUACUGCAUCGAUUCAUCACAAAUACAAUGUGACCAUUUCCUAUCAGCACAUCAAUGUCAAAGAAUCCAACAAGUGUUCACGAGUCAGUCGUAUUAUUAACACUUUUCCUUAUAGUUCAUAUCAUAACCAACACCUUCCUUUUUCCCAAUAGCGUACAGAUGUAGAACGAUUCGUCAGAACCUGAUCCAUUGCAACAAACCAAGAGCCUUUUUCCAAAGACCAAUUCCGAGCGAAUUGAUGCUGAAAAAUCCGGAGCUCACUUUCACCUCACCUGAAGGAAACCAAUUUCUCUCCUGGCACAUCACCCACGAAAAACACCUUUCUCAGCGCGAUUCUACCCGGCAACGAGAACGGUAGACAAUCAAAAGGCGAACGAACCUUCUAAACGUAGAUCUAUUUCGGAUAAAUCUAGCGAAAUCGAGUCCAGGCCAUCGGACCAACGAUUUCUCGUAAUUCAACAUACCGAAAACGAUGAAAAAAUCUGUUUCCGUCCCGAUACCAGCAAAUCAAAAGUGCCUGUACCCUCAAACAAAGGGCCACCGUGAAAUUCAGAGUCUACCUCACGCUAUCUGGGAAAAGACGGUGUGCUUCCUGGCCCUUCACACAACACAAGCUCUGCCGCGAACGUAUGCGCUGAUAAAAGUUGUUGCUGAACGAAAUGGUUGAAGAUCCAUUGAAUUAACGAUACAUCAACAAUGGCUAGACGCUGUCUUGAAAUCACCUAGGGAACCUAUUUCAUCGACUCGCAAGCAUUUUCCUCAGAUGACGACGCACUGGAACAAAUGAGCAUGCAUACCGAUGCCUCACGCAACAACUGGUGCACCGAUUAACGUUGUGACGAAGGGUAUCGAAAGAAAAGCGUGAAAUUCGUACGGGAGCUUUUGUUCACGUAAUUCAUGUUAGCGACAAUAACAAACAACAUCCACCACUAACCGAUGUCGACGAUCACCGUGCACGUCUCGUGAAAGUGGCCGCGAUCUACGCUUGCUUCGAAAUAUUCGAAUUUCCCAGUCCACGAGCGAGCACGAGCCUUAGUGGAGAUACCGUACUCACUGGCGUACUGUCGGGCCGUAAAGGUUAGACCCCCGGGUUCGGAGGUUUAUAACUACGCAGAAAGAAAUGAUAGAGCAGAAAUUCAAAAAAGGUUCGAAAGCUUGGAGUAUUCCGCGUCUGAUUACUUAUUUUCGAAUAUCAAGAAAAAACCACAACGACAGUUAUGACCACCGAAAGGUCAAAAAACGUGGUUUUUUAGGAGUUGACCGAAGUAGGUUAACUUUGGAGCGUCGCCACUCGUUAGAAAACCGUUCGAAAAAUUCGAAAAAAUUUGGAGAGGUUUCUGGAAGAUUUCUCAAAACGAUUCCGUUAGAAAAUUUCAGAAAUUUUGGGAAACAUGGCGCCCAAGUGCACCAAAGUACAAAGUGGUGAUCUCGGGAACGGUUUGAGCUAAACGGAUCUACGUGGGCUUGAAAUUUGCAGAAAAAUAUACACUUUUCAAUGCCUCGAAUAAAAAAUUGUUCGUUUUGCUUAAGUUUCGGUAAUCGUCGUUGACGUUUUUGGAUAUCACGGGCGCUCAGCGGGCGAUCCAGCCGCUCGACCGUGGCUGCAUUCCCCCACCACCACUUCUCAUAACAAUGUCCCAGAUUCUGCGGUGGGCGUGCAGCAUUCAUUCAAUGUCUUGCGCUUGAAUUGCAAACAUCGAAUUUUUCUGUGUCCGCCAAAAUAUAAAUUGUAUUACAUAUAUAUUCACUCUCCAAACGUUUGAAGUAUAUAUCUCUUUACUUUCUCCUAAUUUUUCUGUUCCUUAUAUUCUUCUUUA